rnacentral:lncRNA from 1 species
CGAUGAAUUCUCUUUCAGCUAGGCUUUAUGUCGAUUCAUUCCCACCCGUUUGGCUUACUGGACCGGUUGGAGUUUCUUCGUAGUUUCUAAAUGAUGUUGUCAAAAAAAAAGGUUUUCUAAUGUUUGUAUGUGAUUCUCCAAAGAUCUUUUAUGAUCAUUUGAAGCAGUGAAACUACUUUUUCUCGUUUUCUUUCUUAAUUUUUUCUAAUUUGUUUUUCUUGCUCUUUUUUCUUUCAAUUCCCGC